rnacentral:rRNA from 1 species
UACGGAGGAUGCGAGCGUUAUCCGGAUUUAUUGGGUUUAAAGGGUGCGCAGGCGGCACGGCAAGCCGGCGGUCAAAUCGCGGGGCUCAACCCCGCCCAGCCGUCGGAACUGCCGGGCUAGAGUGGGCGAGAAGUGCGCGGAAUGCGUGGUGUAGCGGUGAAAUGCAUAGAUAUCGCGCAGAACUCCGAUUGCGAAGGCAGCGCACCGGCGCCCUACUGACGCUCAGGCACGAAAGCGUGGGUAUCGAACAGG